rnacentral:rRNA from 1 species
UGAGUUUGAUUCUGGCUCAGGAUGAACGCUAGCGGCAGGCCUAACACAUGCAAGUCGAACGGUAACAUGAAAAAGCUUGCUUUUUUGAUGACGAGUGGCGCACGGGUGCGUAACGCGUAUACAAUCUGCCUUUUACAGGGGGAUAGCCUUUGGAAACGAAGAUUAAUACCCCAUGGUAUAUAGGAGUGGCAUCACUUUUAUAUUAAAGCUUCGGCGGUAAAAGAUGAGUAUGCGUUCUAUUNNNUAGUAGGUGUGGUAACGGCACACCUAGGCAACGAUAGAUAGGGGCCCUGAGAGGGGGAUCCCCCACACUGGUACUGAGACACGGACC